rnacentral:miRNA from 1 species
AAAGGUCAAUGUACUCGUC